UGUUGGUUUAAUUCGAUGACAACGACGAAGAACCUUACCUGGUCUUGACAUCCCGGAGACCCUUAGGAAACUAGGGGGUGCUUCCAUCUGGAAGAAUCUGGAGACAGGUGCUGCAUGGCUGUCGUCAGCUCGUGUCGUGAGAUGUUGGGUUAAGUCCCGCAACGAGCGCAACCCUUGCCUUUAGUUGCCAGCAGUUCGGCUGGGCACUCUAAAGGGACUGCCGGUGUUAAACCGGAGGAAGGUGGGGAUGACGUCAAGUCCUCAUGGCCUUUAUGACCAGGGCUACACACGUACUACAAUGGCCGAUACAAAGGGCAGCGACACUGCGAGGUGAAGCCAAUCCCGUAAAAUCGGUCUCAGUCCGGAUUGGAGUCUGCAACUCGACUCCAUGAAGUUGGAAUCGCUAGUAAUCGUGGAUCAGCAUGCCACGGUGAAUACGUUCCCGGGCCUU
rnacentral:rRNA from 1 species